GCACUUCCGGGGCGUCUCGUUCUCAUCGCGAGAAGAGGCGCACCCAGAGCGUACACGCUGGGACCCGAAAGAUGGUGAACUAUGCCUGGUCAGGACGAAGUCAGGGGAAACCCUGAUGGAGGUCCGUAGCGAUUCUGACGUGCAAAUCGAUCGUCGGAACUGGGUAUAGGGGCGAAAGACUAAUCGAACCUUCUAGUAGCUGGUUCCCUCCGAAGUUUCCCUCAGGAUAGCUGGCGCUCGCCUUUGCGAGUCUCAUUCGGUAAAGCGAAUGAUUAGAGGCAUUGGGGUCGAAACGGCCUCAACCUAUUCUCAAACUUUAAAUGGGUGAGAUCUCCGGCUUGCUUGAAGCGUGAAGCCGCGAGAGAUCGGAUCACAGAGUGCCAAGUGGGCCACUUUUGGUAAGCAGAACUGGCGCUGUGGGAUGAACCAAACGCCGAGUUAAAGCGCCCAAAUCGACGCUUAUGGGAUACCAUGAAAGGCGUUGGUAACUUAAGACAGCAGGACGGUGG
rnacentral:rRNA from 1 species